UACGUAGGGACCGAGCGUUGUCCGGAAUCAUUGGGCGUAAAGAGCGUGUAGGCGGCUAUUUAAGUCCUGCGUGAAAUCCUGCGGCUCAACCGCAGACGGUCGUGGGAAACUGGAUGGCUAGAGUGCGGGAGAGGGUAGUGGAAUUCCCGGUGUAGUGGUGAAAUGCGCAGAUAUCAGGAGGAACACCGAUGGCGAAGGCAGGUCUCUGGGCAUUAACUGACGCUGAGGAGCGAAAGCAUGGGGAGCGAACAGG
rnacentral:rRNA from 1 species